UGGAGAGAAAUAAAAGAAAGUCAGACUCUGAUAUAGCUAACAUUAUCUUGGGCUACAAGGCUAACAAUCGGAGUACAACGCAAGGUAGCACCUUAGGAUGGGCUGGCAUGCAAGACCCUCACCUGGGUCGAGAUGCUGAUGGCAGAGGUCACUGCCUAACACACGCCCCUAGAGGCUCGCCGUGGGGCGUCUGCGCAUGCGCGCGCUGCCUCGCCGCUGGGAGGCGGGGGGCGGGCCCUGGCUGCCAUUUUGCCCCGCGCGGGUUCCGCCACCGCUCUUCCCAAAACAAUAUCGGGGUUCGGGCGGUCUGUCCCAGACCGGCUUCCUUUCCCCUUGCCAAGCCCGCCCGACAGCCCUGUCCAGUCUGCUCAGACCCAGCUCUAGGCCAAUGAACUGACCCGUUGUCCGCAGGCCGGCUCUUCGCCGCGGCUCGUCCGGGUGCCCAUCCCGCGAAACGGAGCGCGUGGGCACCCAGCCUCUCCGCCGGCCGCGAUGCCGAACGUGCAGCUGCCGCCCAAGGAGAGCAACCUCUUCAAACGCAUCUUGAAAUGUUACGAACAGAAGCAAUACAAAAAUGGCCUCAAGUUUUGCAAGAUGAUUCUUUCAAAUCCAAAGUUUGCUGAACAUGGAGAGACUUUGGCUAUGAAAGGAUUAACACUGAACUGUUUAGGAAAAAAAGAAGAAGCCUAUGAAUUUGUUCGUAAAGGCCUUCGUAAUGAUGUCAAGAGUCAUGUUUGUUGGCAUGUGUAUGGACUUUUGCAGCGCGCUGAUAAGAAAUAUGACGAAGCUAUUAAGUGUUACCGCAAUGCCCUCAAAUUAGAUAAAGAUAAUCUGCAGAUUUUGAGGGAUCUCUCUCUGUUACAGAUCCAAAUGAGAGACCUUGAAGGUUACCGUGAGACAAGAUAUCAGCUUCUUCAGUUGCGCCCAACACAACGUGCUUCCUGGAUUGGAUAUGCUAUUGCAUACCAUCUGCUGAAAGAUUAUGAUAUGGCACUAAAAUUGUUGGAAGAAUUUAGACAAACUCAGCAAGUUCCUCCCAACAAAAUAGACUAUGAAUAUAGUGAACUGAUACUGUACCAGAAUCAAGUGAUGAGGGAGGCAGAUCUGUUUCAGGAAUCUUUGGAACAUAUAGAAACAUAUGAGAAACAAGUAUGUGAUAAACUUUUGGUGGAAGAAAUUAAAGGGGAAAUGCUGUUGAAAUUGGGAAGAUUAAAAGAAGCGAGUGAAGUAUUCAAAAACUUGAUUGAUCGGAAUGCAGAAAAUUGGUGUUAUUAUGAAGGCUUGGAAAAAGCUCUCCAACUUAGCACUUUAGAAGAGAGGCUUCAGAUUUAUGAAGAAAUUAGUCAGCAGCACCCCAGAGCAAUUUCACCUAGAAGAUUACCUUUGAAUCUUGUCCCAGGUGCAAAGUUUAGAGAACUAAUGGAUAAAUUCCUGAGGGUUAACUUCAGUAAAGGCUGCCCACCCUUGUUUACCACGCUGAAAUCUCUAUAUUACGACGCAGAAAAGAGAGUGGGGAGAAAGAACCCCCAACGACACUACUCUGGGUUCAGUAUUUCCUGGCACAGCACUUUGAUAAGCUUGGGCAGUAUUCUUUGGCUUUGGAUUAUAUUAAUGCUGCAAUUGCUAGUACUCCAACUCUAAUAGAAUUAUUCUAUAUGAAAGCAAAAAUUUACAAGCAUAUAGGUAAUCUCAGAGAAGCUGCCAAGUGGAUGGAUGAAGCUCAGUCUUUAGACACAGCUGAUAGAUUCGUCAACUCCAAAUGUGCAAAAUAUAUGCUUCGCGCAAACAUGAUAAAAGAAGCAGAGGAAAUGUGCUCCAAGUUCACAAGGGAAGGAACAUCUGCCAUGGAAAAUCUAAAUGAAAUGCAGUGUAUGUGGUUUCAGACAGAAUGCAUUUCAGCAUAUCAGCGUUUGGGAAGAUACGGGGAUGCCUUGAAAAAAUGCCAUGAAGUAGAAAGGCAUUUUUUUGAGAUCACCGACGAUCAGUUUGACUUCCAUACUUACUGCAUGAGAAAGAUGACCCUUCGUGCCUACAUUGACCUUUUGAGACUAGAAGAUGUACUCAGGAGACAUGCCUUCUAUUUCAGGGCUGCUAGAUCAGCUAUUGAAAUAUACUUGAAAUUGUAUGAUAAUCCCUUAACCUGUGAAAGCAAACAACAAGAAAUAAAUGCAGAAAACCUGUCAGCCAAAGAACUGAAGAAAAUGCUUAGCAAACAGAGAAGAGCGCAAAAAAAGGCUAAAUUAGAAGAAGAGAGAAAAUACACGGAAAGGGAACGUCAGCAAAAAAAUCAAAAGAAGAAAAAGGAUGAAGAAGAAGAGGAAACUAGUGAUCUCAAAGAAGAACUUACACCUGAAAAAUUAGAAAGAAUAGAAAAUCCGUUAGAAGAAGCUAUCAAGUUUCUUAUACCUCUUAAGAACCUUGUUGCUGAUAACAUUGACACUCAUCUAUUAGCAUUUGAAAUAUAUUUUAGAAAAGGUAAUAGUUUGAAUUCAGAUUUUUCGAAUUAAUUUUAUCGACCAUAUUAGCAUCAUAUUUGUGAGUUAGAUCUAUUUUUGUUUCUUACUCAUUUCUGCCUUUUACAGUCCCCUUUACCUUUGCUACUCAAAGCUUUACUGAGUAAUAAAUUAGAAUAUUAUGGUCUAAUGAGUCGUUUGAAGUCUUACAAAUUAUUUACCUGAAGCAAUUCUUCAUGAUUUUUCAAUUACUUCUUUAAAAAAUAAAAGUUGCCUUUGAUAACCAAAGUCAGCUUUGAAUUCUGCUCAUGGGAAAGGUGACGUUUCGUUACUGAAUUCAGAGUGAGGCUAAAAUAAAGUGAAGAAAAUAACAUACCAUAGAUAUUGAGGCAGUUACUGUUGUAUUUUUUUUUUCUGACAUAGGGAAGUUUCUGUUAAUGCUUCAGUCUGUCAAACGAGCUUUUGCCAUCGACAGUAAUAACCCAUGGUUACAUGAAUGUUUAAUUAAAUUUUCUAAGUCUGGUAAGUAUAAAAAAGGUAACAUGCUAGCAAAGAAAUGUAGAAAAUAGUGCAUUUUAAGCUAGAAUGAAUGAAUGAAUGUAUAUUCCAAAGUAACAAUAAUAUUUUGAUUAUGUAAAAUAUAUAUCAAGCUUAAUAAUAAAUAGGACUGUAUUUCAAUUGAUUUUGUUUUAAAGGACAGACCAAAAUUUUUUACAAUUUUCAAAUUUUCUCUUGUUACAGUGUCUAAUCAUAGUAAUCUUCCAGACAUUGUGAGCCAAGUUCUGUCUCAAGAAAUGCAGAAAAUAUUUGUCAACAAGGAUGUGGAAAGUUUUAAUGAGGAUUUUCUCAAACGCAAUGCUACCUCCCUUCAGCAUCUCCUUUCAGGUGCUAAGAUGAUGUAUUUUCUGGACAAGUCAAGGCAGGAGAAAGCCAUUGCUAUUGCCACCAGACUGGAUGAAACCAUAAGAGAUAAAAAUGUAAAGACUUUAAUAAAGGUUUCUGAGGCACUGCUUGAUGGCAGCUUUGGGAACUGUACUUCGCAAUAUGAGGAAUACAGGGUGGCCUGUCACAACCUGCUGCCUUUUACGUCUGCUUUCCUGCCUGCUGUGAGUGAAGUCCACGGUCACGGUGCAGCCCGAAACCUCACAGCUAACUCUGACGUCUUGGCAAAUGAAAUUGGAAAUCUCGCAGAAAGCUGACUCCUGUAAGACUCAAAUCAGGGUUUCUUUUCCAGCUUGUCUUUUAUUAUGGGUAUGAAAGGAAAUGCAGCUGACCCUUGAACAACAUGGGUUUGAAUUGUGAGGGUCCAUUUAUUUGUGGAUUCUUUUGAGACCGUGUGGAGAGUUGGUGUACCUAACUCUUGCUUUGUUCAGCGAUCAACUCUAAUUGGAUAGAAUUUUUUUUUUUUUUUUUUUUUUUUAACUUUUGGCCACCCCAUGACAUAUGGAAAUCCCAGGCCAGGGAUCAGAUGCAAGCCGCAGUUGCAGCAGGGCCGGAUCCUUUAACCCACUUUGCCAGGCUGGGGAUCGAACCUAUGUCCUGCCACUGCAGAGACGCUGCUGGUCCCAGAGCGCCCACUGUGAGCACUCUGGAUAGAAUUUUUAAACAAAGUAUUCUGUAAGCUUAUUCUUUAUCUGACUCUGCCAGUGUACAUAAAUGCCUGUUAAAAUGACCUGUUUGUGAUGGUGCAGUUUUCUUAAACUUUUGAAUUAGCAACAUUGUGGUGGAUGCUGUCACUUCAUAUCAAACAUGAUAAUGAUUUCUUCAUUAAAUUGUAUACAACUCCAUUGUUUUGAGAUCCGAGUUUCACUUCAGAAUCUAUGUUUUGAUCCUUAUUGGUUUGUUUUGUUACUGUUUUUUUUGCUUUUUAAUUAAAGCACAUCAAUAUUAAAGUGUUAACUGUAUGUCAAAAAUGAUAUGGAACUCCUUUUGGCAAAUAUUUAUUUAAAAUUUACAUCAGCUUAAAACCUUUUGUCCACCUUGCUUUUUGGGGGGCUUACUGCUUCCUUUUUAAUCCAUGAAAAAGAUAUUUUCUGUUGAAUAAGAGUAUUCCAACUGUAUUUAUGAGUGAUGUGCUUGAGGGGAGCAUAAUAGGGCAGAAUACAAUUAUAAUGGAACAUUCUCAUUCUUAGAGCCAUGCAUUGACUAUUAAAUACAUUUUUAUAUCAGCAGAAUGAGAAUUUAAACUCUCAACUAGUUUAACUAUUAAAACAUGGUAUCGUUGAGCAAUUUGGGGGGGGUAGCUUUUUGUUCUAUCUUGUACAGAAAACAAGAAUAGAGUCAUUUAAUAUGUUUCAGAACUGUAUAAAUAUAUCUGUAACAUUAAUACUUUCUUUUAAGGCAAAUAUAAAUUCAAAAGGGGAGAUUUUAUGGAGGGAAACAGUUCUAAUUAAGAUGGUUUUCCUUCACUCUAAUAUUUAGAUUAGAAACUCACUGUAAAAUAAUGCCAGCCUCUAUAAUGCUGUAAUAAAUUAUUUUGCACACA